rnacentral:rRNA from 1 species
UACAGAGGUCCCAAGCGUUGUUCGGAUUCACUGGGCGUAAAGGGUGCGCAGGCGGCCGUGUGUGUGAGGCGUGAAAGCCCGGGGCUCAACCCCGGAAUUGCACCUCAAACUACAUGGCUAGAGCAUUGGAGAGGGAAGCGGAAUUCACGGUGUAGCAGUGAAAUGCGUAGAUAUCGUGAGGAACACCAGAGGCGAAGGCGGCUUCCUGGACAAUUGCUGACGCUCAGGCACGAAAGCGUGGGGAGCAAAAGGG